GUCCACGCAGUAACGAUGAUUACUAGCUGUUGGCGAUAGAAUGUCAGUGGCUAAGCGAAAGCGAUAAGUAAUCCACCUGGGGAGUACGUUCGCAAGAAUGAAACUCAAAGGAAUUGACGGGGGCCCGCACAAGCGGAGGAACAUGUGGUUUAAUUCGAUGAUACGCGAGGAACCUUACCCGGGCUUGAAAUGCAUCUGACGAACUUGGAAACAGGUUUUCUAGCAAUAGCAGAUGUGUAGGUGCUGCAUGGUUGUCGU
rnacentral:rRNA from 1 species